UACGUAGGUGGCAAGCGUUGUCCGGAUUUAUUGGGUUUAAAGGGUGCGUAGGCGGCCCUGUAAGUCAGUGCUGAAAUAUCCCGGCUUAACCGGGAGGGUGGCAUUGAUACUGCGGGGCUAGAGUACAGAUGAGGUAGGCGGAAUUGACGGUGUAGCGGUGAAAUGCGCAGAUAUCAGGAGGAACACCGGUGGCGAGGGCGGUUCUCUGGGCAUGAUCUGACGCUGAGGAGCGAAAGUGUGGGGAGCGAACAGG
rnacentral:rRNA from 1 species